rnacentral:rRNA from 1 species
CCUACGGGAGGCAGCAGUGGGGAAUAUUGGUCAAUGGGCGCAAGCCUGACCCAGCCAAGCCGCGUGAAGGAAGAAGGCUUUCGGGUUGUAAACUUCUUUUGUUAGUGACGUAGCAAGUGACGGUACCUGCCGAAUAAGCCACGGCUAACUACGUGCCAGCAGCCGCGGUAAUACGUCGGUGGCAAGCGUUAUCCGGAUUUAAUGGGUGUACAGGUCGUGUAGGCGGGACUGCAAGUCAGAUGUGAAAACCACGGGCUCAACCUGUGGACUGCAUUUGACACUGUAGUCCUUGAGUACUGGGGAGGCAGACGGAAUUCGUAGUGUAGCGGUGAAAUGCGUAGAUAUUAGGAGGAACACCAGUGGCGAAGGCGGUCUGCUGGACAGCAACUGACGCUGAGGCGCGAAAGUGUGGGGAGCAAACAGGAUUAGAUACCCGUGUAGUC